CACAUCAUAGAGUGGCACAGUUCUUUGUGUUUGUUAAACUACAAAACCUAGAGUUUCCUGUACCUUCUGCACGCUGCUUUUAUAUUCUUGAGGCCUCUUGCUGGAAGGCCUGGGCUAGCAAAAGAUAGGAAAUACCUAGAAAAACUCAACCCAAUGUAUGGAAACAGAACUUCCUGGUUCUAGCUCUCUCUUGAGUCUUCCCCAGUGGCAGAAGUGAAAGCUAUUUAUAGAAAACUAUUUAUUUAGCACACUGUAAUUGUGUAGAAACAUGCUCUCUCCAAGCACAAAGGUUCCUAGGGCAGUGAAAUGCAGCUAUCUGAGCAGAAGGUUUCCAUAUGCAACAGUGCUGGAUUUGAGCUGGGAGAGGCUCGAAAGCAUAAUUUAUUGAAAUUUACUUUUGCUGCCUGAGAAGUGUUUUCUAUGGGCACCUGAUGACAUCUGGCACACUGGAGAACUGCAUUUCCCAACAUUGUGGACAUCAGGGAGGAAUAAUGAGGGAAAGAGAAAAAUGGAAGAUGGGGGAAAGGCAAGCAACAAGAGAGCAACUCUUCUACCUCUGUUGGAGCAGCUUGCAGGCAAUAACAGUGCAGCAACUAGAUGCAGGUGAGGUGGUGACUGUCCUGAAUCAGUGCCUUGGUACCAACUGCAGUUUCCAGACCAUUUUUGAAGGCUGCCCCAUGUGCAAUACAUAUACAACGCUAAGUGAGACGUUACCAGAGCAUGAGUAACUGUGGCCAAGCUAUCUCUGUCCAGAUAAGGUUGCAGUUGGAGUAUCAGCACAAGCUGAUAAAAGUUACUCCAAGCCACAGAGGCCACUUGAGCCCCUACUAACAAUGCUGUAUCAAUGAGUACCCUGGACCACAAACCUGGUCCUUCAGGAGGAGUGCAGCCCCAUCUAGAACAGGCUGAACAUCAUUCACCUGGGCAGAGGAACUACCAACCAACAGUACUUUUGAGUCUCAACUUGAGUUCACCUCACCCUCAUCCAGUCCAUUACUACAUCAAGGCCUCAGUGGGAGUGCAGAACAGGCAGUUUUAAAUCAUCUCUUGGGUUCCGACCCGACAGCUACAUCUUAUUUGGAUUCAAUUUCAAUUUGUUAUCCCUCAUCCAACCCAAUACUGCCUCCUGGCAGGCAUUUAGGGAAGUGAUGCCAUUUUCUGAUGAGGUUGAUAUGAAGAAAUAGAUCUGGGUGUUUCAUGUGUUUUAAUUGGAUGUUUUAAUGUUCUGUUGUGAACCGCCCACAAAAUAAUUUGUUAUGGGGCAACUAACAAAUAAAGU